UACGUAGGGGGCAAGCGUUAUCCGGAUUUAUUGGGCGUAAAGGGAACGCAGGCGGUCUUUUAAGUCUGAUGUGAAAGCCUUCGGCUUAACCGGAGUAGUGCAUUGGAAACUGGGAGACUUGAGUGCAGAAGAGGAGAGUGGAACUCCAUGUGUAGCGGUGAAAUGCAUAGAUAUUAGGAGGAACACCAGUGGCGAAGGCGGCCUACUGGACGGUGACUGACGCUGAGGCUCGAAAGCGUGGGGAGCAAACAGG
rnacentral:rRNA from 1 species